AUUUAUAUUACGGUAGUUUUAAAAAAUUGUUGUAAUAUUUGGAUAUUGUGGCAUUUUAUAGUGUUGCCAUAAUUAAUUUGUAUAAAAUGGUAGUUUUUAAUGAUUCUGGCGGUUUUAAACCACCAUUAUCGGGACCUAUUAUUAAAAAUAAGACCAAAAUUCUUCUCCUACAACAGGAACCCUAAGACACAGCGACACUACUAUUACUAAAACCAAAAAACCCAGAUCUGGUGAAACUAACACUGCUAGCCUGCCACCAUUGAAACCCAAAAAUGACGAUCUAUGCUCUGCUCCGGUGAUAAUCUACUCCAAUGACUGCUCCGGCAAUAAACCCUAAUCUCUUGCCACCAUUCAUCUCCUGCCACUGUCAUUUAUCUCUUCGCUACUGCUUAUCCCCUCGUCAUAGCUCAUAUCCUUGCUGUUGCAAGAAACGUCAUUGCUGUUGCCUUCAGCAAGUUACUAAUCUAGUUCAUGAUCUGGUUUCAAUAUGAAGGUUUGUCGCUGAUGCUUAUUUCACCACCGUUGUUCAUCUUUUCGCCACAUCAAGCAACAUCGUGUUGCUGCCUUCAAUGAGCUUCUGCAAUUUAGUACUGACUUUGAUCUGAAGGUUAGCACCGCCACUCAUUUUCUUGCUGCCUUUGUUUAUCACCUCUCUGCCACAAGCAAUGCUGCUGCUAUUGCCUUUAGCGAGCUUCUACGACGUGGUUCUGCUUUCUUUGUCACUUUUAAUAGGUAAUCUACUUCAUCUUCUUCUUUUGAGUUUUUCUUCCUCUUCAUACUUUUAGAUCAAAUUCAUGAUCUAGUCGGAAGAAACAGAGAAUGCUUGUUCCAUGGAAGGAAGCUUCGUGAAAAUAAUCGAUCGAGAUCUCGAGCACAGUUCAUUGAGAACAACUUGAAUGAAGGUUUUAGAUUUAAUUAUAGUUUUUCUUUCUCCAAAAUUCUUAGCUCUUAGGUUGUGAACUGGCAAAAUGAAUUGUGGACUUGUGUAGAGCAUAUAAUUGGGAAAUAGUAUGGCUGUCGUCGUAAAUGUUCUUAGUUUUAUCUCGAAUGGAUCAAGAAAAACAUUGUAGGAGUAUUUAAAAUAUCAUAAUAACUUGCAACACCAAGUUACUAAACCAGUUAAUCCAAAAUUCUAAAAUAUUUUUGAAAUUAUUUAAAAUGUUAUAAUUAAUAUCAAACUUCAAAACCUAAAAAGAGAGUAACUGAAACAUAAUGGUGAACUUUUAUAAGGUUUGGUAAUCUUGUUUAAUGAUUCAAAGAUGAAGCAUGUGCUUAUGCUAAGCAAACGGUUUAUUUUACUUUUUUGUGGGACCUCCAGAUUACUGAGAGAGAUGAUGAAAUGGAUCCUUUUAUUUCAAAUGCAAAACGGAGUUACAUAUCUGAAAGAAUUUGUUUUGUUACAGCACAUAAAUUUAUUCAGAUAUGCAUAUAUAGCUUCCUACAUUUUCACAUUUACUGUAGAGGAACAUUGUACUUUUUUUUAAUGUUUGAAGGUGUAUCUUCAGUUUAAAUAUUUGUGUUAUUUCUUUUCAUUUCACUGUUGUUUCCCUUAAGCAUUUACUAAAUGCUUUGCUUCCAAAUGUCAACAACUGAACUACUAAACACACGGCAGGAAACCAUCACAGAUUGCAAAAUCAAACAAGGAAAAAGCAAAAUGAAAUUGUGGAGGAAUUUUGUAUGGGAUUGUGAGGAUUCGGCUACACGUUCUCGACUUGAGAAACACCAUGCUAACAGGGAUAUUAUGAGGAAGGAGUCUUUCUGUCAAUCUUCUCUUCCACGUGAUCCAUUUGAAAGCCAUCAAUUUAGUGACAAAGUUUAUUGUGUUGAAAGCACUGGCGCAUUUGUUAAUCUUCACUCUAGUAUUGGUUUGUAAUACUUUUUUUCUCCUGGCUCCCUGCAGAUGGUACUUUAAACCAACUCCAAGAUGGAUGAAAGAAACCAGAACAUUGCAUCUUCCAAAGAGCUCUCCUCUAUAGACUAUUUGCAUAGAAGGCGACAAAUGAAUCCAAAGAAUCUUGCAUGUCUUGAAGUUUGAUCAUGUGAUGUGUCAAUUCUUGGGUGCUACUGUUUUCCUUUUUGAUUGAGUUGGGAAUUCAUUUCAUUUUAGGCCAAUAUCAAGAACAAUUUGAAAAUCGAAUGUAUAUUAUUUUUCUUGCUAGAUAUGCUUAUAAGUUUCUCUAUCAUUUUGUUCAAUUACUUGGUUGUGUCUUUUUUUUUUGUUAGGGAAGGUUAUUAUUUACUUUCACUUUUCAUUUGGAUAUAGAUUGAUUGAAGGCAUUAGUUUUCAUGUUUGCUCAAACAUUUGUCAUUUUUUGUUAUUUGGGUUUCAAAAUGCUAUUCUAGCAUUAGAUUCUUCAUGUAAAGCACAUGAUUUGGUAUUUCUAUGAAUUGCAUCUUAGCUGCAAUAUCUUCAUUUGCUUAAUAUACUCAAUUUCACGUUAAAAAUCUUGAACCAUAUCACUAUUACUUGCAUAGAUGGACUUUCCUAUAUUUGUUGCAUUUAGGCCAUAUGCAUAUUUGUGCAUUCUCUUAACCUUAGUUCAUUUUUUUAGGGUUUUAAAAUUCACACUUUGUUUUUGCUUAUGGUUAGGUCUCUUUGACAAAAUAAAAUAUGCAUGAACAGUUUCAGCUUAAAUCUUUUAAGUAAACUGAAAAUCCUUCCAAUGGAACAUCAAAAAACAACAAAUUACUCCAACAUUGUUACAUGAUAACAUCUGUAUGAAAACUAAUGAUGUGUUCUUCACAAAAAGAUUACUGCAUGGUGAACAACUAGUUAUCAUGCAUUUUGAUAAUAUUUUUUAUGCCUAAUUAGAUGGCCCAUGGAAACCUUGAAAGAGAAUCGAUUUUAGGGAACUUUAAUUGGUCUAAGUAUGAUUAUUCUCUUGCUCAGAUGUUGAAGAUUUUUCUUAAUAUUGGAAUUGUUGUUGCUGAUGCUAUAGAUGUGCUUCUGAUAUUGUCCUCACUGAUGCUAUAUAUAUGCUGUCAGAAUUUUAGGUAGCAACUUUCAUAGUAGCAUAUGCUAACUGGGGAUUUGCAAGAAUCAUGGGAAUGGGAUGGGGUUGGCUGGUGUAAUUUGGCUCUACAGUUUAGUGACAUACAUUUCUCUUGAUUGCUCAAAUUUCUGUGGGUUAUGACUUUUGAUUUUUGAUGACAAUGUAUGAAUUAUAAAAAGGUUUAAUUACUCUGUUAGUCCCUAUAGUUUCGCAAAAUUUUCAAUUAGGUCCCUAUACUUUUUUUCCUUUUAAUUGAGUU